rnacentral:lncRNA from 13 species
CACAGACCUGGCUCGGAGCAGCUUGGCUGGAAGGCAGGAAGCAUCCUGGGCUGUGGGGAUGAGCAUGGCCAGAGGUACCACUUCCCUAUUCCAGCCAGCACCACGAAUCCAGGAAAAGGGAUGGCUGAUCGAGGCACUGCCAGCUCCCUGGUAGAAAACCCCAGUGCUGUGAACAGGAAUCAUAAACGGCAGCAGUGGGGAAGGAGGGAAGAGGCCAUGGAGGACUGUUUGGCCCCAUCCUGGCUCUUGGGAUGAACGAGUGUGGAAUCCCUGUAGGAAACAGAAGAAGUGACUGGUAGGGCAUCGUGCAUCUGCACUCAACACCGCUCCUCGGAGGAGGAGGAUGGUGAGGGUUGACGGUGAUGAGCCGUGAUGGUGCAGGAAAGCCUUGGCACCGAGGCAUUGUGCAGCGGGAGCGAUGGGAAAGGCUGGCCAGGGGAGGCACCGCUUUCUGCAACAGCCUUCAAAGAGUUUCCUUAAGUGAUGCUGCUCUUCAGGGCUUCCUCCUCCAAGAAAAAAAAAAGUAGGGAAAAAAGGAGAUGAGGGAGAGCAAUCUCUGGGUGUGGGAUGAAAGCGGCCUGUCUUGACUAUUUACCUAGCAAUUAUAAGUAAAUCGGUGGUGCCUAACGGGGCCGGUUGCCAUAGUGACGAUGGGAUGGAAGGACCAGCAUUUGGUCCUGGCUGCAGCCAAUCAGGCUGGGAAGCCCAAGCUGCAAUAUAAAGUAAAGAUUCCCAUCUUCCAGCCACGCACUUGCCAAGAAAGGGAAAUAGGUUCAAGAGUCUGGGGAAAAAAGUGCUGCGGCCGGCGGCAAGCAGGGCGGCUGCUCCCGUCAUGGCGGACUGCGAACGCCCGGGCAGAGUGGCACUUCUGGGAUGCGUGCGGACGGCAUCCCACCCCUGGCACCCCAAGAGGAGCAGCGAGCCUGGUGGUCUGGAGCAUGGAGAGGCAGGAGUGCAGGGCACAGGCCCGGGCUGGACCCCAAAGGUGGGUGCAGGAAGGCGUGUGGGGUGUCACUGAGGGGUGCUCACCUUCACCGGCUGGGGGUGAAGAGCACUGGGCAUUGGUGGUGCUGGCUGAGCUCCUGUGCCAUUGCUUUGGGCAGAGAAGGUUGAUCAAAACCAGGGGAGUUGUAGGGUCUGGGAUGCAGCAGGGAUCUCUCAG